UCCAGGACUCCAUUCUUUCACUUUAAAGCUAUUUAGUCAAGAAGGCAAUGUUGACACCAUCAGUUAAUUUCCAGGAAAGAACCUUGAAUUAGAGCUCCCAAGAAACCCAAGUUCAGUGUGAAAAUGGAAAAAUAGUCUCACCUAGCUCACAGGGACGUCUUGAGAAGUUACUGGCCUGCCCCUGUGGAACACGCAAGACAGAAAGGUCCUCUACCAGUACCAUUAGCCAAGGGUGUACUGAGCUUGAUCACCAACAUGGAUCCUCACAUAGGACCAAUGGACCCUGUCCAGUAAAAGAAAUAUGCUGUGAAUAUGCAGACUUGGGAUCCACUGGUUAUUAUCACAGGCCACCCUACUCAGCUGACCUGGGAAGAUGAUGGAAGAGUCCCAUUAAGAAGACAUCUGGUAGAUGAAGCACAAGGAAAAUGGCUAUGUUUCAUAGCACAGUAUGGAGCCUAUGUUAACCCUGGAGUAUGGAUGUCUGUCCUCAAUACACAGAGUCCUCAAGUCCAAUAUGGAAUGAGUGAAAAUAAACGUGAUCUUACCUCUC